CCUACGGGGGGCAGCAGUGAGGAAUAUUGGUCAAUGGGCGCGAGCCUGAACCAGCCAAGUCGCGUGAGGGAAGACGGUCCUAUGGAUUGUAAACCUCUUUUGUCGGGGAGCAAAGGACGGCACGCGUGGAGGUCCGAGAGUACCCGAAGAAAAAGCAUCGGCUAACACCGUGCCAGCAGCCGCGGUAAUACGGAGGAUGCGAGGGUUAUCCGGUUUUAUUGGGUUAAAAGGGUGUGCAGGCGGAAGAUCAAGUCAGAGGUAAAAUUGAGAGGCUCAACCUCUUCGAGCCGUUGAAACUGGUGUGCUCGAGUGAGCGAGAGGUAUGCGGAAUGCGUGGUGUAGCGGUGAAAUGCAUAGAUAUCACGCAGAACUCCGAUUGCGAAGGCAGCAUACCGGCGCUCAACUGACGCUGAUGCACGAAAGUGUGGGUAUCGAACAGGAUUAGAUACCCGAGUAGUC
rnacentral:rRNA from 1 species